rnacentral:guide_RNA from 1 species
AACACAACAAUAAUUCCAUAUUAAGUGAGGAACAGAGAUUUAAUUAU